rnacentral:rRNA from 1 species
GUGCACGGCGCGUGCUAUACAUGCAAGUCGAGCGGACCAGAAAUCCGGAGCUUGCUCUGGUUUGGUCAGCGGCGGACGGGUGAGUAACACGUGGGCAACCUGCCCGCAAGACCGGGAUAACUCCGGGAAACCGGAGCUAAUACCGGAUAACACCGAAGACCGCAUGGUCUUUGGUUGAAAGGCGGCCUUUGGCUGUCACUUGCGGAUGGGCCCGCGGCGCAUUAGCUAGUUGGUGAGGUAACGGCUCACCAAGGCGACGAUGCGUAGCCGGCCUGAGAGGGUGACCGGCCACACUGGGACUGAGACACGGCCCAGACUCCUACGGGAGGCAGCAGUAGGGAAUCUUCCGCAAUGGGCGAAAGCCUGACGGAGCGACGCCGCGUGAGCGAAGAAGGCCUUCGGGUCGUAAAGCUCUGUUGUGAGGGACGAAGGAGCGCCGUUCGAAGAGGGCGGCGCGGUGACGGUACCUCACGAGGAAGCCCCGGCUAACUACGUGCCAGCAGCCGCGGUAAUACGUAGGGGGCGAGCGUUGUCCGGAAUUAUUGGGCGUAAAGCGCGCG